UUUAUGGAGAGUUUGAUCCUGGCUCAGGACGAACGCUGGCGGCGUGCUUAACACAUGCAAGUCGAACG
rnacentral:rRNA from 1 species